GGCUGGUAUCACAUUAUUCGAAAAGUCGAAGUAGUUGCUGUACUUUGGAAUUUUUGGCUUAUUGUUUAGAAUAAUAGAUAAAAAUGAAAUUUUUCACUAACGCACUUAUUUUGGUUUGUCUGAUGCUGGCUGCAACCGGCCAUGCAGCCAUAAGAAAUCCUGCAAUGUUUUCCACUCCUAGCCCCUUAAAAAAGUGAUUCCUUAUCCUAAGGAAAAAGCAUCUGCUAAAUGGAAAGUUAUUACUGGAAAACAACUAUUAGUGGCGUCAUCAGUUUUAUUUUUUUUUAUAGUCGUUUAAAGGUUUGAAUAUUUCAUAUGGAAAUUGUAUCAAUAUAUAAACUUGUUUUAUCACUUCAA